rfam:Stegodyphus mimosarum contig120992, whole genome shotgun sequence.
GUGUUCGUGGUGUAGUGGUCAGCACGAUCGACGCGUAACCGAGAGGUCCAUGGUUCGAUUCCCGGUGAACGCG